CGCACAUUGCGCCCCUCGGUAUUCCGGGGGGCAUGCCCGUUCGAGCGUCAUUAUAGACCAUCAAGCACAGCUUGGCAUUGGGCCUUCGUCCCCGCAGCGGACGGGCCCCAAAGACCUCGGCGGUGAAGCGUCGGCCUCAAGCGUAGUAGAAUCCUAUCCCGCUUACAGAGGCCGCGGUUCGCCCGCUCCGAAAACCCCACACCUCAAGGUUGACCUCGGAUCAGGUAGGGAUACCCGCUGAACUUAA
rnacentral:misc_RNA from 1 species